rnacentral:rRNA from 1 species
UACAGAGGGUGCGAGCGUUAAUCGGAAUUACUGGGCGUAAAGCGCACGUAGGCGGCUUGGUAUGUCGGGUGUGAAAUCCCCGGGCUCAACCUGGGAACUGCAUCCGAAACUGCCUUGCUAGAGUAUGGGAGAGGGAAGUGGAAUUUCCGGUGUAGCGGUGAAAUGCGUAGAUAUCGGAAGGAAUAUCAGUGGCGAAGGCGACUUCCUGGACCAAUACUGACGCUCAGGUGCGAAAGCGUGGGGAGCAAACAGG